UAUAGCUCAAGUGGUAGAACACCUGCCUAGGAAGUAGGAGGUCCUGAGUUCAAACCUCAGUA
rnacentral:tRNA from 1 species